GCUGGGCACAGUGGCGCAUGCCUGUAAUCCCAGCAGCUUGGGAGGCUGAAGCAGGAGGAUCACAAAUUCAAAGCCAGCCUCAGUAAGUGCUUAGACAUGAGGCCCUGUCUCUA
rnacentral:sRNA from 1 species